rnacentral:rRNA from 1 species
ACGGAAGGCAGCAGCUAAGAAUAUUCCGCAAUGGACGAAAGUCUGACCGAGCGACGCCGCGUGGAUGAUGAAGGUCGAAAGAUUGUAAAAUCCUUUUAGGAGUGAAGAAUAAGCGGUGCAGGGAAUGGCAUCACGGUGACGGUAGCUCCUGACUAAGCAACGGCUAAUUACGUGCCAGCAGCCGCUGUCACACGUAAGUUGCGAGCGUUGUUCGGAAUUAUUGGGCGUAAAGGGUAUGUAGGCGGUCGUGCAAGCUUGGUGUGAAAGGCAGGGGCUCAACCCCUGGACUGCAUUGAGAACUGCAAGACUUGAAUUGCCGAAGGGCAGCCGGAAUUCCAGGUGUAGGGGUGAAAUCUGUAGAUAUCUGGAAGAACACCAAUGGCGAAGGCAGGCUGCUGGCAGAUGAUUGACGCUGAGGUACGAGAGUGCGGGGAGCAAACAGGAUUAGAUACCCUGGUA